AUGUCCACUACAUUGCAAAUCCUAAUUAAUUAACAUUUGGUAGCUGUCUUGAGUAUAAGGAUCUUUUAGAUUAAAAACAAAAUAACAACAAUCUUGGUAGGUAGCUACAAUUUUAUUUGUAUGCAUGUAUUGCACAUAGGGAAGAAGAGUUCUGUGCUUGUACUUCCAAUUUCUAUAAGAUUUAACUCUGCACACUUUGUUUAGGUCAAGAAACUUCUCUAGGACUGAAUAGAAGACAAUGUCUGGAAUAUCACUGCAAAUGUAAUGGACGGAGUAAAUUGACAGCAGCUCCAACUAAAUUACAGUUUAAAAGACAAGGGAAGACUCAAGGGACAUCAAACAAAGGAAACUCUAGCUGACCAGCGCUCAGAGGAUGGCAUGUGGGAAAUACGGGCAAGACAUUGGGAGAUCUGUGUUGAGAUGAGAUCUGCUUGCCACCACCGCCUGGCUCAUCACAUCUGUUUUGGAGGUCUCAGGGGAGAACAAAGACAGACUUCCAUAUGUAGUAAUUAA
rnacentral:lncRNA from 1 species